GCAGUCGCCGCGGGAAAACGAAGGGUGCAAACGUUGCUCGGAAUUAUUGGGCGUAAAGCGCACGUAGGCGGCUCCGCAAGUCGGAUGUGAAAUCCCUCGGCUUAACCAAGGAAGUGCAUCCGAAACUGCAGAGCUUGAGUACUUAAGAGGAUCGCGGAAUUCCCGGUGUAGAGGUGAAAUGCGUAGAGAUCGGGAGGAACAUCAGUGGCGAAGGCGGCCAUCUGGGACAACACUGACGCUGAGGCACGAAAGCGUGGGGAGCAAACAGGAUUAGAUACCCCCGUAGUCCCUGUCUCUUAUAC
rnacentral:rRNA from 1 species